CUAGUGACAUGGGUAUGCGAAAUUCCUUUGAAAAGAUCUUGAGUUUCAUUCUUAGGGAAAGAAAAAGCCGCUUCUCCCAUAAAUUAUACUGGAGUAACUUUUUUGCCAUUAGUUUUCUUUCAUUUUAUCUGAUACACUGGAUAUCGUCCAUCAAAAACUAAUACUGUAAAAUUUGAUAUAGUUUGGAACAGGAGCUCAGCAAUUCGUGGGAAAUCAAAGCCACUCCUACGAUUCUCUUCCUCAGAGAUGGCAAAAUGGUAGACAAACUCAUAGGUGACAACAAACAAGAUCUCCAAAAGAAGACAAUGGCCAUUGCUGAAUCUUGUUCAGAUCUGACAACCCCAUGAUUGAGUUGCCUGUCUUCUGAAUGUCUAAGGCGUAUAUCAAUUUUCUUCAGCAAUUUUGAUACUCUAAAAUCGGAUCUCAGAGAAUAAGGAAUCCACUCAUAAGGGGAGUGGUCAUGCCGCUACAGAUGAGGAGAAGAAUAUGGCCUUCUGCCUCGAGAUUGAAGCUAUAGCUGAGGAGAUUGCCCAGAAACUUAUUCGUUUCCAUGAAGAAAUGAUGGUAAGAAUUCCUAAACGAAUUAGCCCUUGAUUGUGCAACAAAAACCAAGCGCUUGAUUGCUGAAGUUGAAGAAGCGCUUGAUUGCUGAAGUUGAAGAAGCUCUUGACCAUGUCUACUUGAUGCAGUCCGAAGGGAUCAGCAGCAGCAGCAGUUCAUUCCGAUUCCAACUCCUCUCUCUCCCAUUUCUUGAUGUCUCCUUUUGCAAUGAUUUAUUUGCAUAUGUACUAUCAACUAUGUCCGCAAUCGAGACUAUGGUUAAUCAUUAUCAUGUAUGGGACCAUUUCCGUUCCUUGAUGAUAGUGUAUCUGACACCCGAUGAUACCUUGUUUGAUUGCCACAAUAUAUUCAUCAUCAUUAUCAUGCCAGUGGACUGCAGAGUUUUGAUGCUUGCAUUGGCAUUUGAUUCAAAGUUCCAAGGCAAAGCUUUCAAGCUUACGUUUCUGGAUAUGCAUUGGAUUGUCAAUUCCCACUAAUUUAGCAGGCCACGGGUUAGAUGAGGGUAUUUGACCUGCUGCCGGUAACUCAGCCGGUUCAAAAGGUAAUUUCCACUUUAGUUAUGAAAGUUAGGGUGUUUAUGUCGAGGUUUUUAAACAAUAGGGGGGGUAAGGUGUCUUUUCGGAAAACCACAAGGGGGUUCCUUGUAUUUUACCCAAUUUAAAUUAUGUGUUAUGCAUCUAAUGAUAAAAGCGUAUAUACCGUUAGUGUAUAGAAAAUUAAUCCAAGA